AUCAACUUUCGAUGGUAGGAUAGAGGCCAACCAUGGUGGUAACGGGUAACGGGGUGUUAGGGCACGACACCGGAGAGGGAGCCUGAGAAACGGCUACCACAUCCAAGGAUGGCAGCAGGCGCGCAAAUUACCCAAUCCCGACACGGGGAGGUAGUGACAAUAAAUAACAAUACGGGGUUCUUUUGGAUUUCGUAAUUGGAAUGAGUACAAUUUAAAUCUCUUAACGAGGAACAAUUGGAGGGCAAGUCUGGUGCCAGCAGCCGCGGUAAUUCCAGCUCCAAUAGCGUAUAUUAAAGUUGUUGCAGUUAAAAAGCUCGUAGUUGAAUUUCGGGGUUAGUAGGCUGGUCAUGCCACAGGUAUGCACUGGUCUUACUGAUUCCUCCUUCCUGAUGAACCGUAAUGCCAUUAAUUUGGUGUUGCGGGGAGUCUGGACUGUUACUUUGAAAAAAUUAGAGUGUUUAAAGCAGGCUAACGCUUGAAUACAUUAGCAUGGAAUAACGAAAUAGGACGUUCGAUCUUAUUUUGUUGGUUUCUAGGAUUGACGUAAUGAUUAAUAGGGAUAGUUGGGGGCAUUAGUAUUCAAUUGUCAGAGGUGAAAUUCUUGGAUUUAUUGAAGACUAACUACUGCGAAAGCAUUUGCCAAGGAUGUUUUCAUUAAUCAAGAACGAAAGUUAGGGGAUCGAAGACGAUCAGAUACCGUCGUAGUCUUAACCAUAAACUAUGCCGACUAGGGAUCGGAUGAUGUUAAUUUUAUAAUGACUCAUUCGGCGCCUUACGGGAAACCAAAGUGUUUGGGUU
rnacentral:rRNA from 1 species